CGCGUAGGCGGUAAUGUAAGUCAGAUGUGAAAGUCCUGGGCUCAACCCAGGAAGUGCAUCUGAAACUGCAUAACUAGAGUAUUGGAGAGGAAAGUGGAAUUCCUGGUGUAGAGGUGAAAUUCGUAGAUAUCAGGAGGAAUACCGGAGGCGAAGGCGACUUUCUGGACAAAUACUGACGCUAAGGCGCGAAAGCGUGGGGAGCGAACA
rnacentral:rRNA from 1 species